GGCAGCAGGGAAGAAGAAGGCCUGGCUAGAUAACAGGUCAAGCCUGAUGGCAGCAGGGAAGAAGGCCUGGCUAGAUAACAGGUCAAGCCUGAAGGCAGCAGGGAAGAAGAAGGCCUGGCUAGAUAACAGGUCAAGCCUGAUGGCAGCAGGGAAGAAGGCCUGGCUAGAUAACAGGUCAAGCCUGAUGGCAGCAGGGAAGAAGAAGGCCUGGCUAGAUAACAGGUCAAGCCUGAUGGCAGCAGGGAAGAAGAAGGCCUGGCUAGAUAACAGGUCAAGCCUGAUGGCAGCAGGGAAGAAGGCCUGGCUAGAUAACAGGUCAAGCCUGAAGGCAGCAGGGAAGAAGGCCUGGCUAGAUAACAGGUCAAGCCUGAAGGCAGCAGGGAAGAAGAAGGCCUGGCUAGAUAACAGGUCAAGCCUGAUGGCAGCAGGGAAGAAGAAGGCCUGGCUAGAUAACAGGUCAAGCCUGAAGGCAGCAGGGAAGAAGGCCUGGCUAGAUAACAGGUCAAGCCUGAUGGCAGCAGGGAAGAAGGCCUGGCUAGAUAACAGGUCAAGCCUGAAGGCAGCAGGGAAGAAGAAGGCCUGGCUAGAUAACAGGUCAAGCCUGAUGGCAGCAGGGAAGAAGAAGGCCUGGCUAGAUAACAGGUCAAGCCUGAUGGCAGCAGGGAAGAAGGCCUGGCUAGAUA
rnacentral:lncRNA from 1 species